UGAUCCAGCCAUGCCGCGUGUGUGAAGAAGGUCUGUCGGAUUGUAAAGCACUUUAAGUUGGGAGGAAGGGCAGUAAGUUAAUACCUUGCUGUUUUGACGUUACCAACAGAAUAAGCACCGGCUAACUUCGUGCCAGCAGCCGCGGUAAUACGAAGGGUGCAAGCGUUAAUCGGAAUUACUGGGCGUAAAGCGCGCGUAGGUGGUUCAGCAAGUUGGAUGUGAAAGCCCCGGGCUCAACCUGGGAAUUGCAUCCAAAACUACGGAGCUAGAGUACGGUAGAGGGUGGUGGAAUUUCCGGUGUAGCGGUGAAAUGCGUAGAGAUAGGAAGGAACACCAGUGGCGAAGGCGACCACCUGGACUGAUACUGACACUGAGGUGCGAAAGCGUGGAGAGCAAACAGGAUUAGAUACCCUGGUAGUCCACGCCAUAUACGAUGUCGACUAGCCCUUGGGAUCCUUGAGAUCUUAGUGGCGCAGCUAAGGCGAGAAGUCGACCGCCUGGGGAGUACGGCCGCAAGGUUAAAACUCAGAUGAAUUGACGGGGGCCCGCACAAGCGUUGGAGCAUGUGGUUUAAUUCGAAGCAACGCGGAGAACCUUAGCUGGCCGUGACAUGCAGAUAACUUUGCAGCAGAUGGAUUGGUGCCUAUCGGGAACUCUGACGCACGUGCUGCAUGGCUGUCGUCGGCUGGUGUCGUGA
rnacentral:rRNA from 1 species